rnacentral:rRNA from 1 species
GAAGUCGGAAUCCGCUAAGGAGUGUGUAACAACUCACCUGCCGAAUGGAUUAGCCCUGAAAAUGGAUGGCGCUGAAGCGGGCAGCCGAUACCACGCCGUCUGUUUUAGUGACUGGAACAGAUGAGUAGGAGGGCGUGGAGGUCGUAUCGAAGCAUGCGUGCGAACGUGUGUGGAACGGCCUCUAGUGCAGAUCUUGGUGGUAGUAGCAAAUAUUCAAGCGAGAUCCUUGAAGGGCGAAGCGGGGAAGGGUUCCACGCGAACAUUGAUUGGGCGUGGGUGAGUCGUUCCUAAGCCGCGUGGUAAUAGCUAUCAAACGGCGAAAGGGAAGCGGGUUGAAAUUCCCGCACACGGAUGUGGAGGCGGCGACGCUUUAUUGAGACGAGCCCGUCGGCGGUUGCACUGGGCAGAGAUGUCUUUUCUGUUUAACCAGCUCGCGCGCUGUGUGGAAUCCGAUUAUCGGGAGAAACACGCGUACCGGGUAAGAGCGCCGGGACUUUUCCGGCGUCCAGCUCGCGACCGACGGCCCUUGAAAACUUGUCUACUGCAAUAAAAUCCACGCCGUGGCGUACCGAUAACCGCAUCAGGUCCCCAAGGUGAACAGCCUCUGCCUAAUAUGAACAAUGCAGGUAAGGGAAGUCGGCAAAUUAGACCCGUAACUUCGGGAAAAGGGUUGGCUCUAGUGCUGCGUGGGAGUGGUUGUCUGUUGUUGGCCGCCGUUGGCUAGCUGAUGUUGUUGCGGGGCAACCUGUGGCGAUGUCGGCGGGCUGAUUGUGAUCGCUACGGACGACGCCCACAGCAUGCAGCGAACUAGAACUGCAACGGUCAAAGGGAAUCCGACUGUUUAAUUAAAACAAAGCAUUGCGAAGGCCAGGGAUGGUGAUGACGCAAUG